rnacentral:tmRNA from 1 species
AAAGGUUUCGACGGGGGUAUCGAGGGCUGAAAUAGCGAGUCGUGGCUCCGGCAACCACGUAAAAAGCUGGAAUUAAAAAUAAACGCAGAAGAUAAUCUAGCUUUAGCUGCCUAAUUAAAAGGCGGCUCGUUCAACCCGAGCAUCCCGCGGCUUGGGAUUGGGCGUCAUCUAGCGGGGUACGUCACUGCCAAAGCUUUGAGGUAGUUGAUGAAUUAUGAAGCUACUGAAGCUGUAAGCUUGUCAGUGGGCGUGCAGCGGAGGGAAUGUUAAAACACUGACUGCACUCGGAGAAGUUUCAGUCUGAGGACUUUCGGACAGGGGUUCGAUUCA